AACGCUAGCGGCAGGCUUAACACAUGCAAGUCGAGGGGUAACAGGGAUUGCUUGCAAUCCGCUGACGACCGGCGCACGGGUGCGUAACGCGUAUGCAACCUACCUUUUACAAGGGGAUAGCCCAGAGAAAUUUGGAAUAAUACCCUAUACGAUCAUCAAUUGGCAUCAAUUAAUGAAGAAAACUCCGGUGGUAAAAGAUGGGCAUGCGUCCUAUUAGUUAGUUGGUAAGGUAACGGCUUACCAAGACUUCGAUAGGUAGGGGUCCUGAGAGGGAGAUCCCCCACACUGGUACUGAGACACGGACCAGACUCCUACGGGAGGCAGCAGUGAGGAAUAUUGGACAAUGGAGGCAACUCUGAUCCAGCCAUGCCGCGUGCAGGAAGACGGCCCUACGGGUUGUAAACUGCUUUUAUACAGGAAGAACUAUAUCUACGUGUAGAUAUUUGACGGUACUGUACGAAUAA
rnacentral:rRNA from 1 species